rnacentral:rRNA from 1 species
CCUACGGGAGGCAGCAGUGAGGAACAUUGGUCAAUGGGCGAGAGCCUGAACCAGCCAAGUCGCGUGAGGGAGUACUGCCCUAUGGGUUGUAAACCUCUUUUGUCGGGGAGCAAAAUCCGGACGUGUCCGGCUGUGAGAGUACCCGAAGAAAAAGCAUCGGCUAACUCCGUGCCAGCAGCCGCGGUAAUACGGAGGAUGCGAGCGUUAUCCGGAUUUAUUGGGUUUAAAGGGUGCGCAGGCGGAUUUUUAAGUCAGCGGUAAAAUCGUGGGGCUCAACCCCAUCCAGCCGUUGAAACUGGGGAUCUAGAGUGUGCGAGAGGUAUGCGGAAUGCGUGGUGUAGCGGUGAAAUGCAUAGAUAUCACGCAGAACCCCGAUUGCGAAGGCAGCAUACCGGUGCACAACUGACGCUCAGGCACGAAAGCGUGGGUAUCGAACAGGAUUAGAUACCCGUGUAGUC